CACAGUGUAGCUUAUUCCAAAGCAUCUGGUCUACACCCAGAAGAAUCCAUAAAAAUGGACACUUUGA
rnacentral:tRNA from 1 species